UCAGGCAGGACAAGGGGAGGAGCAGGAGCCUGUCAGGAGCAGAGGAUGGACCAGUAACGGAGAGUUCACCAUUUGCCUAGACAGCAGGAAAGGAGCUGGGGUCAGUGUAGGCUCUUCCCCAGGGACAGGAGCUGGGGACCAAGGCCCCAAACCAUUCACUCCUAAGCACACGGCCCUCCGCCUUACCCUGGGAUGGCCCGAGGGAGACCGAAUUUCUCAGACUUUCAAGGAGCUCACAGCGGCAGGAAAGGCAUGCAGUGAGUUGUCCAGUGCUUCCAAGACCAGUGGGAUCCCCGCGGCUGCUGCAGGAAUCUGAGAUCCUGUCUGGGCCUCAGAACCUGACGGUCACAGUGCACCAAAUGGCAGUGCUGUAGUGCAUCGCCACUGGCCGCCCGCAGCCACCUGUCUCCUGGAGCCGUCUGGGUGUGCACCACCCGCCAGCGUCCCGGCCCCCUGGCCCUUGCCUCUUCCCAGCCCUGACCCGUCGCCUCCCUGCAGACGGCUGCUCCAUCAGCGUGGAGGGCUUCCAGGUCCUGGGCACCAGGAACCUCAUGAUCUCUGACAUGUCGGUCCAGCACUCGGGCGUCUAUGUCUGAGCUGCCAACUGGCUAGGCACGCGUGUCCGGUGCACAGCGCAGGGCGUGCUGCUUAUGCAGGCCCAGGGAGUCCCUGAGCCCCGUCUGGUGUGGCUGAAGAAUGGGAAGAUGCUGAGUCCUGGGGAUGACAUUUGGCUGCCCCACAACAAAAGCACACUGAUGCUGGCAGGGGUCUCUGUCGAGGACAAGGCCAUCUACCAAUGUGUGGCAGAGAACAGCGUGGGCUCCAACCAGGCCAGCGCCCGCCUGGCUGUGACAGGGGACCCAGAGCCACCCCCUGCCCCCAGGGGCCGGCAGGCAGUAGGUCUCUCCACUUCUGCCAUUUGAGUGUCCUGGGAACCAUGGCCCUCCAACAGGGACAUCAUUGGCUACGUGUGUGGGAGGUAGGUGUGGCAGGGUGGACAGGCAUCCCUGGCUCCAGCCCCCCUCUGCUCCUGCCCGGCCCGGGGGAGCUUCCUCUCGUUCUCCAUGACCCCAGGCCUGUCUGGACUCUUGCUGGGCUUCUGGGUCUGUGGUUCUCUGGUGCCCCCUUAUGCUCCUCAGCCCCUUUCGCACCCUCGGCCUUUCCCAUCCCAGCUCCAACUUCUGCAGCCCCUUCCUUGCUUCCUUGGAGGCUUGGCUGGCCCAGUCUGGCACCAGGAAGAGUUUUGUGAGGGUGGGGUGUUCGAGGUGAGGGAGAGGGAGGCUGAGUCGCCGAGCUGCUCUGCUCCUCAGUGCCAGCCGGCCUAGAGUUCCAGGAGGCUGUGGGCAAAGGCACCUCUGGGCAUGUCUUCUCCAACCUGAAGCCUGCCACAGCUGCCUCCAUCCACAUGUGCGCCCACUCAGCAGAGGGUGCCAGCCAGGACUCUGCCUCCAUCCAUGCCUCCACCACAGGUGGUAGUGAGUGCCCACCUCCCCAGUCCUAGAGCCCCAGGCCUCAGGCAGGCAGGGCAGGGGCUGCUGACCAGCUCAUCCCAUUUCCUCUGCAGCCCCUACUGCCCUGGGCUUCUCCACCAAAGUGCUUAAUGCUGCCUCCGUGCAGGCCUCCUGGGAGCUGCCACCCCAGCUGGGGUCCAUCCAGGAUUUCAAACUUUUCCACUGCAAGCUGCCAGCUACCCAUUUUGAGGGGCCCCUGCUCCUGGCUAACAGUGUCAGCUCUUUCCUCUACACAAUUCUGGAUGAGGCCCUGGACCUUUUUGUGUUAUCCCUGGGCCCCCCAUCUCAGUGUGGUCUUGCCCUGGGCACUGAGCUUCCUGGCCCACAAAGGCCUGUUCCCUUCACAAUCUCCUCCACACAGAGCCAGCUGCCUUCUAUGAGAUCAAGCUCCAGGCAUUUAAUGGCCACAGGGAUGGUAACAGCAGUGCCCACCUCGUCUCUUUGUGUGAUGUGCCGCUGGCCACCCCUGAGUGCAAGCUUGGGUGCUCUUGCAGCCAGGAUGCGAGCAGC